UAAAAACUAAACAAGAAUAAUUACAAUAAAUGCAUCAUUUACAAAAGCCCUAUGUUUGUUCAUAGGAUUUAUACAGACAAGCAUUACAGUACAUACAUUUGAAAGACUAAAAUCAGGUAUCAGAACAUGAACUGAUCUGAAAGGAGAUUCAUAGCCCGGAUAUACAAGAAAAACUGCCAGCUUUACAGGAAGAGGUACGAGAUGACAAGACCACCAUCAAAUGUGAAACCUCGACCCCCACCUCUCUGCGGUCCCUUCGGCUGGACUGGCUGCAGACGGGGUGCUGUGCACGGCCAGUCACGAGGACAUGAGGGAUGCCCACAAGCAUGAGUUGCUGGAGGAAGCCGGGAGACAAGGCGUGCCUUCGCACAGUGGGACGGGCCAACAGUUGUGGUCUGGCUGGAGCUCUGGGUCGGGAUGCCGGCCUGGUAGGUGGCUGCUUGCCGAGCCAACGUGAAGAGCGGCGUCAUCAUGUCUGCCCUGUCACACGGAGAUCCAGCGUGAGAUCAGCAUCAGCAACCCGCCGCAUCGGCUGAAGCUGCGCCUGGCGAUCCAGGAGAUCAUGUCCCUGACAGGCCCCUAGCCCCUCCCACGUCCAGAACGGUGCACCUCCCUCCUUCAGUAGGGAGAGAUAGCACCCCCCCGCCCCGGUUGUGUCGCUUGCGGGGUUUUCUAUACAGAUCUCCUCUGUUCCUGCUUAA
ensembl:lncRNA